GACGAACGCUGGCGGCGUGCUUAACACAUGCAAGUCGAACGGAAAGGCCCUGCUUGCAGGGUACUCGAGUGGCGAACGGGUGAGUAACACGUGUGUGAUCUGCCCUGCACUUCGGGAUAAGCUUGGAAAACGGGGUCUAAUACCGGAUAGGAGCCUUCUUUAGUGUGGUGGUUGCAGAGUUUUUUCGGUGUAUGGUUAGCUCGCGGCCUAUCAGCGUGUUGGUGGGGUAAUGGCCUACCAAGGCGGCGACGGGUAGCCGGCCUGGGAGGGUGGACGGCCACAUGGGGAAUGAGAAACGGGCCAGAGUCCUGCGGGAGGCAGGAGGGGGGAAUAGGGAAUAAUGGGCGAAAGGCUGAAGCAGGGACGACGAGUGCGGGGUGAAGGCCGUAGGGUUGUAGAUUGUUAUCCCUAGUGACGAAGCAUGUUUAUGACGGUACCGGGAGAAGAAGCACCGGCUAACUACGUG
rnacentral:rRNA from 1 species